GACGAACGCUGGCGGCGUGCUUAACACAUGCAAGUCGAGCGGAGCGGCGAACGGGUGAGUAACGCGUGAGUAACUGCCCCCCUCUCUGGGAUAACAGUUGGAAACGGCUGCUAAUACCGGAUAGUGGGGGAUGACUCGCGUCCUAUCAGCUUGUUGGUGGGGUAGUGGCCUACCAAGGCGACGACGGGUAGCCGGCCUGGGAGGGGGAACAGCCCCAUUGUGCUGAGGGACGGCGCAGACUCGUACGGGGGGCAGCAGUGGGGAGUAUGGCCCAAUGAGGGAGACCCUGAUGCGGCAACGCCGCGUGCGGAAUGGCGGCCUUCGGGUUGUGAACCGCUUUCAGCCAAGACGCGGUAGUGGCAGAAGAAGCACCGGCUAACUACGUGCCAGCAGCCGCGGUAAUUC
rnacentral:rRNA from 1 species